rnacentral:rRNA from 1 species
UACAGAGGUCUCAAGCGUUGUUCGGAUUCAUUGGGCGUAAAGGGUGCGUAGGUGGCAUGGUAAGUCGGAUGUGAAAUCCCGGGGCUCAACCCCGGAACUGCAUUCGAUACUGCUGCGCUAGAGUACUGGAGAGGAGAUUGGAAUUUACGGUGUAGCAGUGAAAUGCGUAGAUAUCGUAAGGAGGACCAGCGGCGAAGGCGGAUCUCUGGACAGUUACUGACACUGAGGCACGAAGGCCAGGGGAGCAAACGGG